ensembl:lncRNA
CAAACUUACUCAUGAGAAACAGCAGAGGUUGAAGAAAUUCUAGAGCCUGAGUAUGACAAUCUCCCAUCCUUGCAAGAGUCUGAAGGCUAUUAUUCUAAGCACAACCAGGUGGUGAUCACAUGACCACUGGAAAGAAACCAAGUAGACAAGAAACAGAUUUCCUGUGUAAAAAAAUCCAAGAAAAUAAUACUGAAGAAAUCAAAGAUUAUAAAAACAAAUUAUUUUCUCUGGUUCCUGUUUAUGGCUUCUUACUCCAGUCUGGUUCCCUACUGCUCCUCUCGGGGAAUAACUUCAGGUAACCUUCCCAAGACUGAACUAGAUGUUUAUGGAAUUCAGGGAGGACGAGCAUUUGUGACUGACUUGAAGUAUAAUCUGUUGGACUUGGACUGCAGCCUGUAAUCUUUGGGAUAACUACACUUGCGUCACUUCAGGUUCUCAGGCCAGAUCCCAAGUUCAUGUUUGAUCUGUCUUUUCCUUUUGAA